rnacentral:lncRNA from 1 species
CCUCACUACCAUACGCAUACAAACCAAGGCAAGUCGUGGUGCAUCACAUUUUGUAGCUAAUUGCAGCACAUCUACAACAUUUUCUUUGGUCAGCCAACCCUGUUCUAAAAGUCGUAUACACUCUCUUUUAAGAGAUGGAACCACAUAGGAAUGUGAUAAAACCAACAAAUGAAGANGCCAACCCUGUUCUAAAAGUCGUAUACACUCUCUUUUAAGAGAUGGAACCACAUAGGAAUGUGAUAAAACCAACAAAUGAAGAACAAAUUUCUUCAUCUCAACUUCUUC